rnacentral:lncRNA from 13 species
AUUCAUAAUGUUGUUUUCCUAGUUUUCUCUGAUACCCCUCAGCCCAAUUGUUACAUAUUCAGUAAUGACUAAGCGAAGUUAAUUCUGUUUCCUAAAUAUGUUACUCAGUUGUCCUCAUCACUCUGCUUAUCAUGUCACUGCUUGACUUUAUUCCCAUCUUCCCUCUUAUCUAGACCAAGGGAGGAGGCAACGGGCAGAGAGGAGGGAACAGAACAAUGUCCACGUGGCUGAAAUAAAGGAUAUGACAGAGGAUUGGUGCAAGUUAAAGAUGGAAGUGGAGAUCUGUGGAGAAGGGCCUUGCAAGGUAAUCUGCAAGCUGAGAAUUGUCUUGGGAACCUGUGACACAGAAUAAAUAGGAAGAAUCAUUACAGGAAGAGAACUUCAAGAGUUUGAUUCCAAGUUUCUCCAUUUGUGUAAGCUGCAGAGUAGUCAUUGGCUUUCCCCUAUUAGAGAGUUGGCUUCCAUCACAUUUAGUCUAAAUCCCUGCAGACUUCUAGUUCCAAGCAUCUUAUAAAUACUACACUAAUGAAUUCUGCAACUCCAUUUCUUUUCAGUAUUUCUGUUUAAACUAUACUAAAUUCUUACCACUUAGCUUGUUACAAUAUGCCUGUAAGAUGAUUUAACUAGAUUGGUUUUCAAAAAUAAACUAAAUUUGAACCCUCA